CAAACGUUUUGCAUUUAAUCUGGUAACGUUCCACCGUUCCAUUGUUUCUCUUCGUAGCGAUGCCCCGCGGCUCUUGCGUUGCUCCUUGGACACUGACGGCGAUCCUCCUGUGCUUAAUAAUUUAAUUCUGGUCUGUAGAGGGUGCCCCUAAUCGAGCUGUCUGGCGGACUCCUCCCGCCCCCGUGCCCUCCGACUCUCCCCCCUGGCCCCUGAGGUUGCUGUGGGACCUUUGGGGGACUCUGGGCCGGUUCAGGCACUCUCGGCAGAUGGACAUUCCUCUGGGCAAGCACGAGAGGUGAAGUCAAGAAGUGAAGUUUGUCAUGUAAAUAAUAAUGAUGCAUUGUGGUUGGAACUGUGGUACAGCAGCACGUGUACUGUUAAUCAUCAAGCAAGCUAUUCACAGCAAUUAUGCUGCAUAUGUUGAUAAUACGAGAGAUUUGUUGAUUGAUUGGAUUCCAAAUAUAGGAGUGAAACAAAUGUGCGUUUCUACUUUAUCAGUUAUUAAUCCUUUGUCAAUAUUUAUCUCAUAAUGAUAUACGAUCUAGUCUAAUGGAAAUGUAGCAUACAAAAACAGUUAACAGCUGGCUAGUUCGUAUGCCCUUUGUGCCCACACUCGCCCCGGGAAUAAUAAUGCGAUUUCUAAAAGAUCCGAGAACAUCAGCUUAAGUAUUCAAAUAAAGUGGACGGAGACGUAGGGUACAACUUUGUUUCAGAGACUGUUUAUGUGCCAAUUCACUUGAUUACAUGUAACACACAAACGAUCAGUUUCUAGUUUUUUCAAGAUAAAAAAUCAAAAUAGAAAAUUUAUCUUUCCUUAUGACUGUGAUUAUCGGAUGUUCUGUGAAUAAUGCCCUGAUCUGAAUUUCUUGUCUUUUUACUUUCUAUGAUUAGCCAGUGAACUAUUUAGCAUAAUACAUAAAAUAUGAACAUACAGAUAUAAUUUCAGCUAAUAUAGUCUGCUUUAUCUGAUCCUAUUAAUGACAAUAUGGCAUACAUGAGUAAUGGCGGGUUCACGAACAAACAGGUCAGUGCGUGAAAACUUGGCCAUGAGAGUGGCGACUCAUGAAGGGGAAUCCGCUUCCAAUGCAUCCUACUCACUGUAUUAUCACUUAUUAUUAUUCAUGUUUAUUGUAUUGAAUUGAUUGAAUGUAUGAAAGUGUACAAAAAGUUCCACUUUGGUGGUUAAUAAAGUAUUUAUUAUUAUUA